UACGUAGGGAGCAAGCGUUGUUCGGAUUUACUGGGCGUAAAGGGCGCGUAGGCGGCGCGGUAAGUCACUUGUGAAAUCUCUGAGCUUAACUCAGAACGGCCAAGUGAUACUGCAGUGCUAGAGUGUGGAAGGGGCAAUCGGAAUUCUUGGUGUAGCGGUGAAAUGCGUAGAUAUCAAGAGGAACACCUGAGGUGAAGACGGGUUGCUGGGCCAACACUGACGCUGAUGCGCGAAAGCCAGGGGGAGCAAAACGGGG
rnacentral:rRNA from 1 species